UACGGAGGGGGCUAGCGUUGGUUCGGAAUUACUGGGCGUAAAGCGCGCGUAGGCGGACCUGCAAGUCGGGGGGUGAAAGCCCGAGGCUCAACCUCGGAACUGCCUUCGAUACUGCGGGUCUCGAGUCCGGGAGAGGUGAGUGGAAUUCCUAGUGUAGAGGUGAAAUUCGUAGAUAUUAGGAAGAACACCAGUGGCGAAGGCGGCUCACUGGCCCGGUACUGACGCUGAGGCGCGAAAGCGGUGGGGAGCAAACAGGG
rnacentral:rRNA from 1 species